CUAAUCACCAUGGUUACUGAGUAGGAGCUGACUAAUCAGAGCCUGCUGAAUACAGCGAGGAAGCAUCUCGGCUAAUGGAGAAGAGCUUCUUUGCAGCUUAGCUCUGUCAAGAAAGUUCCUUGGGAACUUGCAUAUGACACACAAAUGGCGCAUCAAAUACUUCACCACUGCUGCAGAUUCUGAUACCUAUACAAAGGUGCAAAAAUUAAAAUAAAACAGCAACAAUUUUCAAACUCUUUGUAUUGAUGAUAUAUCACAUUAAAAAUAUUGCAGUGUGCCAAUAUGUUGUGU